rnacentral:rRNA from 1 species
UACUGGCGGUGUUGGGGGAAUCAGACUUACUUGAAAAAUAGAAGUGUUCAAGCAGCUGCUCGAUACGUAGCAUGAUAUUAAAUAGGGCGUGCGUUCUAUUUGUGUUCUAGAGACGCGCAUGAUACAGGACAGUCGGGGGCAUCAGUAUCAGUUGUCAGAGGUGAAAUUCUUGGAUCUACUGAAGACUAACUACUGCGAAAGCAUUUGCCAAGGAUGUUUUCAUUAAUCAGUGAACGAAAGUUAGGGGAUCGAAGACGAUCAGAUACCGUCGUAGUCUUAACCGUAAACUAUGCCGACUAGGGAUCGGGCGAUGUUCUUUUUCUGACUCGCUCGGCACCUUACGAGAAAUCAAAGUUUUUGGGUUCUGGGGGGAUUAUGGUCGCAAGGCUGAAACUUAAAGAAAUUGACGGAAGGUCACCACCAGGCGUGGAGCCUGCGGCUUAAUUUGACUCAACACGGGGAAACUCACCAGGUUCAGAUGAAAUAAGGAUUGACUGAUUGAGAGCUCUUUCUUGAUUUUUCAGGUGGUGGUGCAUGGCCGUUCUUAGUUCGUGGGGUGACUUGUCUGCUUAAUUGCGAUAACGAGCGAGACCUUACUCUGCUAAAUAGCCAGGCUAGCUUUGGCUGGUCGCCGGCUUCUUAGAGAGACUAUCAACUCAAGUUGAUGGAAGUUUGAGGCAAUAACAGGUCUGUGAUGCCCUUAGAUAUUCUGGGCCCCACGCGCGCUACACUGACAGAGCCAACGAGUUCUUUCCCUUGGCCGAAAGGUCUGGGUAAUCUUGUUAAACUCUGUCGUGCUGGGGAUAAAGCAUUGCAAUUAUUGCUUUUCAACGAGGAAUGCCUAGUAAGCGCGUGUCAUCAGCAUGCGUUGAUUACGUCCCUGACCUUUGCACACACCGCCCGUC